GACGAACGCUGGCGGCGUGCUUAACACAUGCAAGUCGAACGGAAAGGCCCUGCUUUUGUGGGGUGCUCGAGUGGCGAACGGGUGAGUAACACGUGAGUAACCUGCCCUUGACUUUGGGAUAACUUCAGGAAACUGGGGCUAAUACCGGAUAGGAGCUCCUGCUGCAUGGUGGGGGUUGGAAAGUUUCGGCGGUUGGGGAUGGACUCGCGGCUUAUCAGCUUGUUGGUGGGGUAGUGGCUUACCAAGGCUUUGACGGGUAGCCGGCCUGAGAGGGUGACCGGCCACAUUGGGACUGAGAUACGGCCCAGACUCCUACGGGAGGCAGCAGUGGGGAAUAUUGCACAAUAGGCGGAAGCCUGAUGCAGCAACGCCGCGUGCGGGAUGAAGGCCUUCGGGUUGUAAACCGCUUUCGCCUGUGACGAAGCGUGAGUGACGGUAAUGGGUAAAGAAGCACCGGCUAACUACGUG
rnacentral:rRNA from 1 species